UGCCGCGUGAGUGAAGAAGGCCUUCGGGUUGUAAAGCUCUUUUGUCAGGGACGAUAAUGACGGUACCUGAAGAAUAAAGCCCCCGGCAAACUUCGUGC
rnacentral:rRNA from 1 species